UAGGGAAUCUUCCACAAUGGGCGAAAGUCUGAUGGAGCAAUGCCGCGUGAGUGAAGAAGGGUUUCGGCUCGUAAAACUCUGUUGUUAAAGAAGAACACCUUUGAGAGUAACUGUUCAAGGGUUGACGGUAUUUAACCAGAAAGCCACGGCUAACUACGUG
rnacentral:rRNA from 1 species